ensembl:lncRNA
CUGCAGGGGCCCCUCCCCCAGGGAACCGAGGUCAAUGAGCAACCGGUAGAGGCCUGUUCCGUCUUGGUGGGUGGAGUGGCAGUCUUCAGGCAGAGAGUGAGCUAAGAGUUGGAUACCGGCUUUCUCCCGAGAGCUCUCCAGCUCACCUGGUCUAAGGCCAGCCUUCGGUGCUCUAUAACCCUUGCCAAGGCCACCAACUGGCCAAGCUGAGGCAUUGAGGUGGCCAUGAGCCUCUUUCCCAUCACUUCUGUGACCUAAUGGAAGUGACAGUCUGCGAUGGGACACCGUCUAACAGAAAAUAGUAUUUGUUUGGUAGAGAUUUAUAGGAAUAUUGUUACCUGACCAUGAUGUCCAGAACAAAGACUCUGACACCAAGAAAUCUGCAGCAGCCAACCACAGCCCUCCUGCUGCUGCUGCUGCUGCUAAGUCGCUUCAGUAGGGUCCGACUCUGUGUGACCCCAUAGACCGCAGCCCACGAAGCUCCACCAUCCCUGGGAUUCUCCAGGAACUAUCUUCCUGGACUACUGUGGACACUGCUUUUCCUCUGAUGUCUGUCUUUGGUGCUUGCUUAGCUUAGAACUCAAAGAACUUGGGUCAUUGUACUCAACAUUUGAAUGGUCCGGAUUUUCAACUGUGUGAUUUUAAGUAAUUUUUUGGAUUCAUCUAAGAGCCUGAUCUAUGGAUUUAGUGUAUAUAUAUAUGUUCCAAUGCCAAUCAACUGAUUUACAAAUGCAUCUUGGAAGACAUUUUAUUAUGAAACUUUCUUCUGUGUGUUUAUGAAAGACAGCUAGUUAGCACCAGAUGCUAUAUCAUUUUUCCAGCAGCCAGCCCUUGAAGAGGAGUUGGAGUCAGCCACUGGCUAGAUUUUGGACACAUCAAGAAGUCCAUACUCAGUAUCAACAUUAUUACCUUGAUGGCAUCUCAAGUGGGAAGAAAGAUUAAGAAACACAGAGUACAUGGAUCACCCUGUAGAACAGGCCUAUGACAGAAAAUAACUCCUUGUUCCUUAUAUUUUACAAGAUGUUUUUUAAAAUUUCUAAAGCAGAGAACUAGUACUGUUUCCCUGAUUACAUAAGUUCACCUGCCAGGACAAAUGAAGAACAGAUGUGUCAUUUCCAGUAUUCAGAAAAUAAAUUCCAGCUUAUUUUUAAAACAUGCUCUCUGAAUGCCUCUGCAUGGUACAUAGGUGGCUGCUGUCAUGAGAACCACCUUCCUGGGUCACUAUACAAGCUGUUAUCCCUCUGGUUCCCCAUCUUCAGAGUUCUCAGUGACUUAAGCUUCAAAUACAUCUUCUAAGUCGCUUCAGUCAUGUCCGACUCUUUGCAACCCCAUGGACAGUAGCCUGCCAGGCUUCUCUGUCCAUGGAAUUCUCCAGGCAAGAAUACUGGAGUGGGUUGCCAUGGGCUUCUCCAGGGGAUCUUCCUGACCCAGGAAUCGAACCUGGGUCUCCCACAUUGCAGGC